UUUCUCCUUGGAAAACGGUGGUAAUGCCGGAUGCUCCAGUUGAUCGCAUGGUCUUCUGGGAAAGCUUUCGCGGUAUGGGAUGGGGUCGCGUCCUAUCAGCUUGACGGCGGGGUAACGGCCCACCGUGGCUUCGACGGGUAGCCGGCCUGAGAGGGCGACCGGCCACAUUGGGACUGAGAUACGGCCCAGACUCCUACGGGAGGCAGCAGUGGGGAAUAUUGCACAAUGGGCGCAAGCCUGAUGCAGCGACGCCGCGUGAGGGAUGGAGGCCUUCGGGUUGUAAACCUCUUUUAUCGGGGAGCAAGCGAGAGUGAGUUUACCCGUUGAAUAAGCACCGGCUAACUACGUGCCAGCAGCCGCGGUAAUACGUAGGGUGCAAGCGUUAUCCGGAAUUAUUGGGCGUAAAGGGCUCGUAGGCGGUUCGUCGCGUCCGGUGUGAAAGUCCAUCGCUUAACGGUGGAUCCGCGCCGGGUACGGGCGGGCUUGAGUGCGGUAGGGGAGACUGGAAUUCCCGGUGUAACGGUGGAAUGUGUAGAUAUCGGAAAGAAAACACCACCCUUUUUCCGGGAGAG
rnacentral:rRNA from 1 species